rnacentral:rRNA from 1 species
AGCAGCCGCGGUAAUUCCAGCUCCAAUAGCGUAUAUUAAAGUUGUUGCAGUUAAAAAGCUCGUAGUUGAAUUUCGGGAUCAAUUAAUUGGUCGUGCCUCUGGUACGUACUGAUUUUAUUGGUUUCUCCCUUCUGACGAACCAUGAUGUCAUUAAUUUGGUGUCGUGGAGAAUCAGGACUGUUACUUUGAAAAAAUUAGAGUGUUUAAAGCAAGCUAACGCUUGAAUACAUUAGCAUGGAAUAAUGAAAUAGGACGUUUGAUCCUAUUUUGUUGGUUUCUAGGAUCGACGUAAUGAUUAAUAGGGAUAGUUGGGGGCAUUAGUAUUCAAUUGUCAGAGGUGAAAUUCUUGGAUUUAUUGAAGACUAACUACUGCGAAAGCAUUUGCCAAGGAUGUUUUCAUUAAUCAAGAACGAAAGUUAGGGGAUCGAGGACGAUCAGAUACCGUCGUAG